rnacentral:rRNA from 1 species
GAUGAACGCUGGCGGCGUGCCUAACACAUGCAAGUCGAACGGAAAGACGAGGAGCUUGUUCCUUUGACGUUAGCGGAGGGCGGGUGUGUAACACGUGGAUCACAUACUUAUAUUUCGGGGAUAAUCACGGAAAACCGGCGAUUAUACCGGAGAAUAUAAUGAACCGCAGGGGUCAAUGGAGAAUGUCGGCUUUGGUGUCAGUUAUAGAUGGUUCCAAGCUGGAUUAGCUAGUUGGUAAGGUACCGGCCUACCAAGGCGACGAUGCGUAGCCGAACUGACAGGGUGAUCGCCCACACUGGAACUGAGACACGGUCCAGACUCCUACGGGAGGCAGCAGUGGGGAAUCUGCGGCAAUGGGCGGAAGCCUGACACAGCGAUGCCGAGUGAGUGAUGAAGGCCUUCGGAUCGUAAAGCCCUGUUGUUGGGUAAGAACAGCUGUGGAAUUAGCCAUACCCGUCUUGACGGUACCUAAUCAAAAAGCAACGGCUAACUACGUG